AACCCUUUAAUCAUGGAAUCAUGGAAAACCAUUUUCUUUAAUAAAGAACCCUGGUAGAACCAUCUUUUUGAAGAGUGUACUCUGUUAUACGUGACUGCUGAUACAACUCGGCCACUUUAGUUAGCAUGCUAAUAGCACUGUUUAGCUAUAUGGCUAACAACAACAAAAAAGACUUUCCACCAAUUCAUAUUCAGACAAAGCAGUUAUUCAAAAAUAAAUAUGUAUGAAAUGUUCAAACUUCUCAAAAAACAUUUGGCAUUGCAAAGUUUGCAUGGCUAACAGGUUAGCUCACUGAGGCUAAGCUAACUGGGGUCUGUCCUGUUUGAGUAAUCCGCUCCUCACUGUCCCCUCCUCCCCUUCUGGACAUGUUGUGCUGUUGGAUUGUAAGAGUGCACUGGAUAUUAUCUGCAAUGUGGUCAGAUAUCAAAAGUGGCAAAGAGCUUGAUUUGAGACGGAGCCGAGAAACGGCAGUGCAGUGCCUGUAUUUCAGCCCUCAGACAAAUACAGUGUGAUCCCCUUUUAUUCCUGUUACUGAAUCAUGGGGCUUGCUCGGACUGCUCUAUGCGUUUGGCCACUUUGCCAAGAAAAUACUGUGCUGACCAGGACCCAAAACCCUGUGUAUGACCGGCAGAACCAUUUUAGUCUGUCAGUCCCUUUAAACUGUCACUCUUCUUCAACAUCGCUGACUGCAUUUCUUUUUUACCUGUGCGUGUGACUAAUGAGUAAUGUUUUGCUAGUUUGAGAUACUCAUGCAAAUAAAUGAUUAUAUUUUCUAUAACGGUUGGAAAUAAGACGAACCGGGGGGACGGGCAACAUCAGGGACCGCCAGAGACACACACUUCUGUUGUUCUGCUUCUGUUGCCUGAAUAACUGUGGAUGACUGAAGUGUAUUUUAAUGCUGUAAUUGUGUGUGGAAGGAAAGAGACCCAGGCCCUUACUUUAUAAAGACAACCAAGCUGCUCUCCUUCAUGAGGAGUUGUACAUAGAAAUGUAUUUGAACAAAUAUAAUGUACAGAACUGUAUUUAUAUUGUAUCUCUACGAAAUGUACAAAAAAAUGGGUACAAAGAUGUCCUAGAAUACAGAACGUUUACAGUA